GAUGAACGCUGGUGGCGUGCCUAACGCAUGCAAGUCGAGCGAUUCUCUUCGGAGAAGAGCGGCGGACGGGUGAGUAACGCGUGGGUAACCUGCCCUGUACACACGGAUAACAUACCGAAAGGUAUGCUAAUACGAGAUAACAUGCUUUUAUCGCAUGGUAGAAGUAUCAAAGCUUUUGCGGUACAGGAUGGACCCGCGUCUGAUUAGCUAGUUGGUGAGGUAACGGCUCACCAAGGCGACGAUCAGUAGCCGACCUGAGAGGGUGAUCGGCCACAUUGGAACUGAGACACGGUCCAAACUCCUACGGGAGGCAGCAGUGGGGAAUAUUGCACAAUGGGCGAAAGCCUGAUGCAGCAACGCCGCGUGAGCGAUGAAGGCCUUCGGGUCGUAAAGCUCUGUCCUCAAGGAAGAUAAUGACGGUACUUGAGGAGGAAGCCCCGGCUAACUACGUG
rnacentral:rRNA from 1 species